CAAAUAGCAGCCAGAUAUACCCACGCGUUCAAACACAUUCACGUGCUCUGGUGGUCCUGAUGUGCAAAGAGCAGAGUGCUAAAAACAGAUGAUGAAAGCAAGUUCAGUCCACGAGCAGUUCAGUGUCAGCAGGCCUGGCAAAGGCAGAUGCAUUGUAGCGUCUGAUAGCACCCAGCAGGAAUGACCUCCUGUGUCGCUCAUUUACACACCGGGGCUGAAUGAGUCUGUUGCUAAAGGCGCUCUUUAGCUUGGCUGACAUGCUGUGUAGGGGGUGGGAGGCGUUAUCCAAGAUCGCCAGCAGUUUUUCCAGCAUUCUGCCCUCCGCCACCUCCUCCAGUGUGACCAGCUUGGAUCCAAUGACAGACCCAGCCUUCUUGAUGAGUUUGUUCCGUCUGUUGGCGUCCUUUGCUUUGAUGCCCUCCAGGGCUGGCCCAUGGCAUAAAUGCACUAUGCGCUUAUUUAGGGCCACAACUGCUAGGCAGGGCCACACAAUCUAUUGUUUAUCUAAAGUAAAUAACGUAUUUUUCGUAAUUACGUUAUUUAUCCCCUAUCGCGGAACUAGCGGUAUAAGCUUAAAAUGGAAUGUCAACAGAACAUUUCAUAGCAAUGUAAUGUAAGAAGGAUUUUACCAAGAGAACCUCCCGGGUUCCAGGUUCAAUACCAGGUUCAAACGUUCAUUGGUUGGCCCAAACAAAGUCAGUCUUCUACAUAGAAAAAAAGUCCUUGUUCAGAUUCACCCAUUUCAAGAGGGAAGUACCUGAAAAUUUUAACCCAUAAAAAGCAUUGAAAUGUGUUCAUUUUAAGACAGCUACUCUUUAAUGCCUCAAAAUACUGCAAAGACAGUGUGCGAUACUUCAUCCAAACUACCAAUGGCCCAAAUAUUCAGACAACACAACAGCCAUAUCAUGCUCUCUUUGGGAUGUGGCAUUAGGGUAGGCAGUUUAAAAGUAACUUAUAAGUAAAUAAAUAAAUAAAUAAAUAAAUAAUGCCCAAUGCAGGGGAAGGUUUAGUUGGCCAGGAUCCCUCUGUUAAUCGCUAUCUAGCGGAUGUCAAAGCUGCAUACGAAAGGUCUUCCUCUGCCUCCACUCUGCGAGCUUGGCUGCAGCCUGCAGUGUGGCAUACUGUAGGCAGAUAGUGCACUAAUCGAUUAUUAAUGACUGGUUGACAGCUGCUGUUAAUUCAACAUGCAGCUGUAGAAAUCUGAGUCAAAAUUGUUAUAACAGCGGGUAAAUUCAGUUCUGGAAAUGGUUGUAUUAGUUCCAAAUGGAAGGCCAUCUGCGAACUGUUCAUGAAAGUGUCAAAGCCACUAGAACACACAGCAAAAUGUUUGCACCUUUGGAGGGUAAUGGGCGGAGUAUUGCACCUACCGACCAAUUGCAAAGGCCUGAGGUAUAAAUGACUGGAGCAUAAGUUCCUUUGUUCGACCACGUAUUCGCUAUAUAUACACGCGGGUUCAUAUUUUCCACAGAAGACUUUGUUGAGAGAAUCGCAAUGGACGUCAAAUCAUUUCACAGCCUCUCUUUGUUUUUAUGUCUUUUGUCAGGAGAGAGCUGUGGCCAAACAGUGUACGGUAAGAUAGGAGAAAACGUAUACCUACAUCUGCGGGAGUCACACAGAAGGUCUUUCCAUGCUAUUAAAUGGAGACGCCAAAAUAUAGUUAUAGCCAAGACAGCACGUUCUAGUGAACCAUUUGCAGAGGUUUUCCCAAAUGGAACACUGAAGCUGUAUAACGUUGGGAGAAACCACAGUGGGUUUUAUACUGCUGAAGCCUAUGAUGACCAAGGCAUCUUCGUAUUGAAUAAGACGUCUCACUUGGUUGUGAUUGAUCCUCCGGUGGUUGAGCUUGUUGCCUGUAGACUGGGAGUUUUUGUGUUACACUGUGCGGGGGAAAACGGUCCUGAUGCCGUGUACGAGUGGAGGGUCAGUGUCCAGAACCAGGGACGUCUAAAGGUCUCCAAUCAUACAGGGAAAUUUGUGGCUCUGGAAUAUUCACCUGGAAACAUCUCCUGCUCUCUGAAAAUGGGAAACUACAGCAGUCGGAGUGCGUCUUAUUCCCUGUCCUGUGCAGGGUCUUGUCUGUUCGUUCCAGAAGCACAGUGGUGUGUCAGUCUCUGGGUCACUGUCAUGCUGGUCCUUCUUUACUUCAUGACAUGUGGAAUUUCAGUCGGUGUACAAAUAUGCCGCAAGCGACAGAAUUCAAGUAAGAAUUUUUUUAAUGUUCAUGACCAGACUGUGAUGUCAUAUAUCAAUAAUUUUUUUCAUGUUAUUUUACAUAAAAUCAAUAAAAAGGGCUAUAAUUCCUCAACAUACUCUCAGAUUGAAUGUUACAGUCUUCACUUUAAUGAAUGUGAUGUUU